GAAAUGCGAUACGUAGUGCGAAUUGCAGAAUUCAGUGAAUCAUCAAAUUCUUGAACGCAAAUUGCGCUUCCGGGUUAGCCCUGGGAGCACGCUUCUUUGAGUAUCGGUUCAAACCAACCUCGACGGCGUUGCAACUUGCAACGUGCGGUCGGAAAAUGAGCGUCACAGCCAGAGUGUGCACUAAGUGGCUGCGUCGCUUCAAGUUCAGAGCCAUAAUGUCGAUUACGCUCAAGUUCAGCCCCUACUGCUGGGAAGAACAAUGGGUACACACCCCAAACUGCUCUUCAUACCAAACUGGCAAUAAGGGUUUGAGUCGUAGUGGACGCGGCUAAAUUGGAAUUAGUCUAGGGGCCGCAAAAAUCUCGAUUUUUGCGACACUCUUUCGAAAUAGAUCUCAGAU
rnacentral:misc_RNA from 1 species